CAUGUCCUGCGCCCUGUGGCACCUUGUAAACUGUGAAGUGAGGGAUAAUUACCCUGCCCCUUUGGAGAUGACUCGCAAACACGUGGCCAACAGGAACGCUGGCCAAGCACAGACGGGAAGGCCAGAGGCUGCUGCAGCCAUCCAUCUGGCACCAAGGAGUCCAUCCAGAAGAAUGACGAUGAAGAUGAGAGUGAACGUUUAUACUGUGCUAACUAUAUGUGGCUUCCCAGGUGGUACAGGGUAAAGAGUCUGCUUGUCAAUCCAGGAGACGCAAGAAACUCAGGUUUCAUGGAUUAAAAGGCUAAGUGGUACUCGGUAGAAGCGGGGAAGGGAGUAGAAGUUUUCUGGCACCGGAAACUAGCG